rnacentral:rRNA from 1 species
AUGAACGCUGGCGGCGUGCCUAAUACAUGCAAGUCGAGCGAACGGACGAGAAGCUUGCUUUUCUGAUGUUAGCGGCGGACGGGUGAGUAACACGUGGAUAACCUACCUAUAAGACUGGGAUAACUUCGGGAAACCGGAGCUAAUACCGGAUAAUAUUUUGAACCGCAUGGUUCAAAAGUGAAAGACGGUCUUGCUGUCACUUAUAGAUGGAUCCGCGCUGCAUUAGCUAGUUGGUAAGGUAACGGCUUACCAAGGCAACGAUGCAUAGCCGACCUGAGAGGGUGAUCGGCCACACUGGAACUGAGACACGGUCCAGACUCCUACGGGAGGCAGCAGUAGGGAAUCUUCCGCAAUGGGCGAAAGCCUGACGGAGCAACGCCGCGUGAGUGGUGAAGGUCUUCGGAUCGUAAAACUCUGUUAUUAGGGAAGAACAUAUGUGUAAGUAACUGUGCACAUCUUGACGGUACCUAAUCAGAAAGCCACGGCUAACUACGUG